rnacentral:rRNA from 1 species
UAUCAUCUGUUUCUUAAAUAUUUAUUGAAUUUGACUUUUAAGUGAAAAGGCUUAAAUAAAUCAAAAAGACGAUAAGACCCUAUAAAUCUUUACAAUAAAUAUAUUUUAUAUUUUAGCUUAUAAGUGUAUAAGAAAUAAAAAUAUAGAUUUGUUGCGCUGGGGCGGCGUAGAUAUAUAAAUAAACUGUCUAUAGUUUAAAUACAAUAAUCAUUGCUUAAUACAAAUUGAUCCUUAAAUAGAUUAAAAGAUUAAGAUACUUUAGGGAUAACAGCGUUAUUUUUUUUGAGAGUUCUUAUCGAAGAAAAAGUUUGCGACCUCGAUGUUGAAUUAAAGUAUCUCUAUGGUGUAGCCGCUAUAAGAGAGAGUCUGUUCGACUUUUAAUACUUUA